UCUGCUUACAGCUGCAGUCUUGAUUCUGUCUUUCUUUUCAGCAGGUAUCAAGCAGUAAUCAGAUACUUGCCUUUAGUAACGAGUUACGUUUGAAACAGGUUAAAAAAUCUUCGGCACAAUCAGUGAAGUAAGAUAAAAAAAAAAAUACGAGGAAAGCUGUGUUGAUGUUCAUGUUUCAAUCCUCAUUUUCCUUCACACACUAAAAAUGGCGUAAUAUCAACAGUCAAACAAAAACAAAAAAACGAACGAUGAGUUUUCUGGGUCAAAAGAACUGUCAGACAUGUUGCAGCUUCCGAAGAUGCUCCAACAAUGUAGUAGCCUUCCUCUUGGCCCUUUCUGUCCCACUUUUGGCAAUCUCCGAAAGAGGUAUUAGUGCACCGAGCCUACUUAGACAAGCAAGAUUUUCACCAUCUCUUUUACACAAGUAAAGUGGAAGCUGCGUUCCUCCUUAUUCCGUGGGAGACCCGUUCGCAAUAGAUCUAUCAAGAAAGGUAUUGUGCUAGCUUUCAUUACGUCGGCCUUUGCUUCCUGGUGGCUAGCACCCUAGCAAGAACCGAAAGGAUGGUCAGAUAUUCAUCGACCAUACUGCUGCCUGAAUCGGUGAGCAUCUUUAAUGGGCAGUAAUAAUGGCUGCCCUAACAGCCCGACACUUUUUUUUCCCGGAUAAAUGCACAAGUUGAAUAAUGCAGUUGCAGCGUCUUUCUUCCCU
rnacentral:lncRNA from 1 species